CGUGUUUAUAACAUUUUUGUAAAAGGGACGCAUAGUUAACAGGCCUCGAUCCCUUUCAUUAACUAUUGCGAUCAACAAAAAUUACCAAGAAGAUUUCAACGUUGUGUUACCAGUCCCAUAUCUUAACCCUUCAACUUCACGGGAAUAGGAUCGAGCGACUCACCAGUAAAAAACAAAUGGGAACUAUAGGAAUCCUCGGACAUUUGAAAAGUAUUGGCCGCAGCUCUCAAAAGGUCCUGGGCCGAGGCUGAUUGGCCCACUUUAACAGAUCGCGUGAGAACCAACUGAAACUUGACUGUGACGUCACUUUCUUGAUUGAAUUGAGCUGGCAACGAUAUUUUUCGUGUAGGAAGGGGGCUUUUAGAUCUUGGAGCUGGAGGUAAGGGCUUGGCUGGUGGUUUCAUUUCAAACGCAGAAUAAGCUCGUCUAUUCUCAGUUUGGAUUACAGGCCUAAACGGACUACUAACUCUCUUGCGAGGCAGCGGGGAACGAGACUCAGCCAUAAAUCUCGGGGUAUGGGAAGCGCGCGGAGAAGGCGGGGGACGACGAGGACUCUCUGGCCUGUCGGGAAUGCCUGGGAGCGGCUUCCUUGGUGGUUCUAUCCGAGAGGAGACUUUCUUCAGUGAACGACGAGUUUCUUUCUUCCGCAAGUCGUUUAACAAUGCGUGUCUUCCUGAAGCCUAAUAACGAUGAAGAUUUUUUUUUAAAGUCAACAGCUACGGUAAAUGUGCUGACUCAUGAGAGAAAAUUAUAUUCCAAAAAAACAUUAUUUUCCUACACGCGUAACGUGAUCAGAGCUAACUUGGAAUAAGCCACCAUGUAAGGUAGGGGUUGUUUACCAACAACAAACUGAAUAAAGGGGGUAAGUCUCCAAAGAAAGUGUGGUGCUGCAUUAGUAAGGAGGGGGAGGGGUUGUUAACACCAAGGAAGAUCCAAAACGUUCAAGAAAGAUCAAAAUCAAAUAAUGCUAACGUUACUACACCUUCCACUCCUUAGGUCGGUUAUUAAUGGACUCCAACAGAGCAGCUGCUGUUCAAUGGAGGUUCAACAGUAUAAAGCAGCUUCAGGGGGGUGCUGUUCAGAAGAUUGUUCAUUUUCUGCAUCUUUGAGAAGAGACGGAGAAGGAGGCUGAGUCUAAAAAAACAGAAUGAGCAUGAGGAACCAGGGCAUUGUAUGAGGUACAAUAAUACUGCUAAGAACUAAGCAGCCAUAUGCAACCAUGCAUGUUAAAGGGGACGUAGGUUUCAGAAAAAUGUAUCAUUUUCAUCUCAGUCAUUUAAAGCAUAAAUACAAAUUUACAACCCAUCUUAGUUUUAAGAUUUCUCAGCAACCUAACCAUUCGAAAUUUGUUUUCAAACGUGCUAUAAAUUCGACAACCAUUUUAAAAACAACUCCGCUACCUGGACGCACCUGCAGAACCGAACCGCAAUGCUUGAUUCACAGAAAGGUACCAGUUGCAAGACAAAAGGAUGCCUUUUCAUGAAAUUGUACCAGAUCACCAAAGGAUGUAAAAAUAAGCCCAAACAAGUGGUACAAUGACGGCAUCCGCGGACUGGGCUUUACAGAGCGUUUGAAGACAAUUUUCAAAAGGUUAGGUUACUCUUAAGAAUCUAGAAAACCGUUCAGUGUCAUGAUUUCAUAAUAAUUAUAGUAGAUAAAAAGUAACGAUUUAUGGAUCUAUGAAAUAUAAUGAAUCAUAUGUAGAAACAUGAGCUUUAAAAAAUUUCUUAAAUACAACGGAUCUCGCGCGAAGAAAGUGAAACGACAGUAACCAGUAAAAACAUACCGUGGAGGUUCUUGAGCGAGUACUGGGGAACUUUGUGACUUCAUUUUCAGCAACGACCUAACAUUGGAAAAGUUAGUAAAGCGGUAAAGUUACUUUCAGACCGACUAUACUUAGUGAGAAUUUCUAUUCACACUCUUUCAACUGCUUCAUGUUCAUAUUUUAGUGUAGAUGUUUUAGUCUAAGUUCUUCUAUUUGAAUUAUUCUGUGUCCCCUUUUUAGUAGGAGUUUCUCCUAGGCUACAUGGUUUAACACUGGAAUUAAGUUUUAAUUAUUAUAGUGAAGAUCGAAUUAUGCUCAACACGAACUGACGCACUCUUCAUUAUUUAAUAAUUAAGUGCCAAUUACACCAGGCUAUGGAAAAUCAUGAGUUCAAUUUCUACAGAAAAAUGAAGAGUAAUUUGAACUAUCCACACAACCAGGAGCCCAUGGGCUCCUGACACAACAAUGAAAAUCUUUCCUAUUCAUCGAGGACAGCGUUCCUCAACCUUAUUUCUCUACUUACCUUCGACUGCCCCAAGAAAUCACGCUUUUCGCUGAUGGCAUCAAUAUGGCGUUUCUGUGGCUGAAAGACCGCAUUUGAUGGCAUCUUCAUGGGUUUUGUGUCUUGUCCAGACUGAAGGAUAAGAGACGGGGCAUCUUACUAAAAUGUACAUUUAUCAUAGAGAGAAAAGGUAAUGGAAGGUCUAAACAGACAGACAUCAUGUCAAAUUGGCAGUCAAAUACAUGUAGUCAGUACAACAGCCAGCCAGUUAGUUGGCCAUUCGAUCAGCUAGUCAACUGGUCAGCAAGGCAGUCAGUUAGUUAAUCAGUGAGUCAGACAGACAGCCAGUAAGUCAGCCAGUCAGACAGUCAGAGAGCCAGCCAGUAAUGCAGUGGGUAAGUUGGUCAGUCAGUGAGCUAUGUAGUAAACCCGUUAGGCAAUUAAUCUGUAAACAAGUAAAUCAGUCAAUGGGUCACCUUGCAAGUCAGUCAGUCAGACAAAUAGCCAGUAAGUCAGCAAGUCAGUUAAUUAGUCAGUCAGACAGAUAAUUACAGUAAGUCAGUCAAUAAAACAGUCGGUGGGCGAGCCAAUGCGGUUGCCAAUUUAGAUAAUCAACUCAUUGAUAAUAUUAAAUUACCCUAAACUAUACUCUCCCAGCGACACAGCACCACAGUUUCUUUAGAAACUUUCCCCCUUUAGUCAUUACGUGACUCAGUCAGUACAUCAACCACUUGGUCAGUCAGUUCAAUCAAUCAGUCAGAAAGCUGCAAUGUAGUCUGUCAGUCAAUCAAUUAGUCAUUUAGUCUGUAGGGUUAGACAGCCAGUCAGUUAUACACCUAGUGUUAACACUUUUAACACCUUAUAUAAAAAACUUACUGUAAAACACAAUGCAUUACCUGCCAGUUGAGAAGUAGGUCUUCUAUAACACUGUGUCGUGGCUCCACCUUGGAUUGUAAAGCCAUCAAAAAAUCAUUUCUGGCUUCUUGAACAUCACCCAACCUGGAGUGUGCAAUAGCCCGGUUGGCUAGGAUCUAAAUGGAAAGAACAAAUUUGUAUUCUACCUCAUAAAUGUUCUACCUACAAAUUAAAGGUGAGGAUUAAUGAGAACAAGAUUAAUUGGAAGAGAAUAAAAAAAUUGGGUAAAGAGGUAACAAGGGUGAAAUAAAAUGUA